CCUACGGGUGACAGCAGUGAGGAAUAUUGGUCAAUGGACGGAAGUCUGAACCAGCCAUGCCGCGUGCAGGAAGACGGCUCUAUGAGUUGUAAACUGCUUUUGUACAAGGGUAAACCUGAAUACGUGUAUUCAGCUGAAAGUACUGUACGAAUAAGGAUCGGCUAACUCCGUGCCAGCAGCCGCGGUAAUACGGAGGAUCCAAGCGUUAUCCGGAUUUAUUGGGUUUAACGGGUGCGUAGGCGGAUUGAUAAGUUAGAGGUGAAAUGUCCGAGCUUAACUCGGGAACUGCCUCUAAUACUGUUGAUCUAGAGAGUAGAUGCGGUAGGCGGAAUGUAUGGUGUAGCGGUGAAAGGCUUAGAGAUCAGACAGAACACCGAUUGCGAAGGCAGCUUACCAAUCUAUAUCUGACGUUGAGGCACGAAAGCGUGGGGAGCAAACAGGAUUAGAUACCCCAGUAGUC
rnacentral:rRNA from 1 species